UCCGGGUUGGUCCCGGCGGUCCCGCCAGACAUCGUAACUGGCGGCGGGGGUUGCGCUCGUUGCGGGACUUAACCCAACACCUCACGGCACGAGCUGACGACAGCCGUGCAGCACCUGUGGCGGCUCCCUUGCGGGUCGCUUCCCUUUCGGGUCGCUACCACCGCCAUGUCAAGCCCGGGUAAGGUUCUUCGCGUUGCAUCGAAUUAAACCACACGCUCCGCUGCUUGUGCGGGCCCCCGUCAAUUCCUUUGAGUUUUAGCCUUGCGGCCGUAGUCCCCAGGCGGGGUGCUUAGUGCGUUAGCGACGGCACCGGGGGGGUCGAUACCCCCGACACCUAGCACCCAUCGUUUACGGCGUGGACUAC
rnacentral:misc_RNA from 1 species